UACAGAGGGUGCAAGCGUUAUUCGGAAUUACUGGGCGUAAAGGGCGCGUAGGCGGCUUUGCAGGUCGGGUGUGAAAUCCCCAGGCUUAACCUGGGAACUGCAUUCGAGACUGCAUUGCUAGAGUAUGGGAGAGGGAAGUGGAAUUUCCGGUGUAGCGGUGAAAUGCGUAGAUAUCAGGAAGAACACCGGUGGCGAAAGCGCUCUGCUAGGCCGCGACUGACACUGAGGGACGAAAGCUAGGGGAGCGAAUGGG
rnacentral:rRNA from 1 species